ACAGAGUUGAAAAAACUCCCUAAAAACCCUUUGUUAAUAUACCUGUUCAGGUUGCUUCGGCUUCGGCAGGGCGGCCCCAGGGCGGGGCCUCCGGCCUGCUUCGCGGGCAGGCGCCUGCCGCUGGCGGCGGUCAAAAACUCUUUGUUAUAUGUUAACCUCCUCUGAGGUCAAAAACAAAAUGAAUCA
rnacentral:misc_RNA from 1 species